rnacentral:rRNA from 1 species
GAUGAACGCUAGCGGCAGGCCUAAUACAUGCAAGUCGAACGGUGUAGCAAUACACAGUGGCGCACGGGUGCGCAACACGUAUGCAACCUACCUUACAUUGGGGGAUAGCCUUUCGAAAGGGAGAUUAAUACCGCAUAAGACAGUAACAGGGCAUCCAGUAGAUGUUAAAGAUUUAUCGAUGUAAGCUGGGCAUGCGUCCAAUUAGGUAGUUGGCGAGGUAAUGGCUCACAAAGACGAUGAUUGGUAGGGGAACUGAGAGGUCAAUCCCCCACACUGGCACGGAGAUACGGGCCAGACUCCUACGGGAGGCAGCAGUAGGGAAUAUUGGGCAAUGGGCGCAAGCCUGACCCAGCCAUGCCGCGUGCAGGAAGAAGGCGUUAUGCGUUGUAAACUGCUUUUAUACAGGAAGAAACGACCCUUGCGAGGGGCAUUGACGGUACUGUAUGAAUAAGCACCGGCUAACUCCGUGCCAGCAGCCGCAGUAACAC